CGCCCCACAACGCAUGCGCUGUUCCCCGCCCCGGAAAUGGGCCCUGUACCCGCCCCGGAAGUGAGCCCUGUACCCGCCCCUCCCAGUGCGCAGGCGUCGCCCGUCGGCCCGCUACCUCCGUGACUGCGGACGGACAGCGGCGUCUCCACUUGGAGGCGGGGGAAGCUGUCCGCCCGUUCCGCCCUGCAGCGUCCAGGUGGGAAGCCGGUUACUCAGGUUUCGUUAGAAGAAAUACUCUCUGGCCGGACCGGAAGUCACUUCACGUCCCAUUCCUGACAGGGCUGCUGCUGGUGACAGAUCCUGGGACCUCUAACAUAAGCCGGCAGAAGAUGAGAAUUCUACCAGUCAGUCUCCCAGAUUACUGCCUGUAGUAUCCAAUAAACGAGAAUGGUCACAGCUUGGUCACUGAGUGCUCUAAGAAGGCUGCCCUGAACCACCAAGAAUGGGUCACGAUUUCGUACCUGAGAUGGCUGGUUGAUUUUCUUCCGAAAAGACUAUAGAGUUACAGCAGUGUAUAGGGAGGUAUCUACCAAAUAAUGCAUGGCAAAAUGAGGAGGCAACUGACAAGCGAAGAGUUUGCGCAGUGGAGAACCACCCUGACCGUCUCUUGACUUUACAGGGAUCGUAGGUGGGUAAGUGUUCCUUUAAAGUGAUUUUGUCAUAGGAGAGUGACAUGAAAUGGUUCUCAUGGUGGGGGGAGAGGAAAGACAAGAAAUCAACAUUCACAAUUAUUUAAAAUGACUUAAAAGCUAAACAUAAUAUACAUAGUAACUCCUUUAUCCUAGUACAAAAAUAGUGCCAGAAACUAUAUAUUUGUUCAAAUGUAUUGAAAAGGUGUAAGAAUACAAAUAGAUAUUAACAGUGGCUAGUGAUGAUUCAUAAGCUUUUUCUUAAACUGAAAUAGAAAUUUAUAUUUUCAACUAUUUACAUGGUGUUCAACAUCUAUUAAGAUAUGUUUACACAGACUUUUGAGAAGGGCAAAGUGAGCUUUAAUACUUUCUUCCUCACUCCCUACGCUGGAGCAGAAGGGGUCCAAAACUAUGUGCAAUUUAACAGUCUAAGAGAACUCUUGAGUAAUCUCUACCUGGCUAGCAUAUGGAAAAAUAAUCUACAUAGUGGAAUAUAUGACUCCUUACUUACAUAAGGUGUUCUGUAAGCUAUCAGCAGGCUAAGUGAUUCAUGCUUGCAAGAAGACAAGAUGUUCACUGACUGACAGAUUCUUAAUAAGUUCCAGGUAAAGAAGGUCCUUGGAAAACUACGUAAUACAUAUGUUAUAGAUGGAAAUGAAAGUGAUAACUGUACCCUAUAUUUUCAUGUUAAAUCGGCAGGAUCAGAAGCUGGUAGGUCUCUUAUCCAGCACUCCCUGCAGAGACUGUGAGCUCCUUGAGGUCACUGCUCUCUCUCCCCAGUGGAGCACAGUGCCUGACAUGCAGCAGGAACUCAAUAAAAGGUGGAUCGAGGCAUGUCUAACACUGAGCAGUUACAUUAUACCACCUUGUUUUAACUGUAGUUGUUCCCAGGAGAGGAGAGCAGUUACAUCCCUCCCCCCACCCCGCCUUCUUAAAUCAAUCUUGUAAAACAAAACAAGCAGCAUUUCUUUUGAUGGCCUGUAAAGCUUUAGGAGUACAAUCAGGUGGAAACACAGGAAAAUUGAACAUCAGAUUGGAGUAGGUCUAACAUUUGUGCUCUGUGCUGAAAAUAAAGGCACUUCACUGCUAGGCAAGAAUAUAUCUGUAACCGGUUUCCUCCCGCAAUCCAUUAUUUCCAGUACACUUUCAUUUCUCCAACACUCCUAUGGAAGGAAACCAUUCUUCAUAGUAAAGAGAUCAGUGGUGAAACAUGACAUCGUCCAGGGUUUGUACCGUGAGAUGAGGUGCUCAAACAGUUCUAAAUCUCACACAUCUAGUGAUCUGCAUGAGAAGCCAAAGAAAUGUACUAUCUUUUUCUCAGUCUUGGAAACUUAACACAGGAAAUGACUUAAGGGAUUAGAUACCUUGCUCUUUGGCCUGCUAUCCCAUUUCUGACAGUGGUCUCCAGGGCCCAUUAGGGCUUACACAGUAGCUGCCUUCUGUGACAUCCUCCUCUGAGACAAGGCUUAGCCCAAACAUAACUCCUUCAACAGCACAACUUGUUCACACUCACAGAGGUUAAAGAGACUUACACAAGUUCACACAGGAUUGUGGCUGGCAAAGGCCAAUCCUGUGAAAAGUACAAGACCAGGCAAUUUUAUAGACAUCUUCUCACAACUUAGUAAAAUAGUGGGAACUUUUGGGGCUGAAAAUUGAAAUGAAAUGGUAUCGUGGUACUCAGCUGUAAUGAAAACAAACAAACUAAUCUAGAGCAAAAACAACUUCUUGCUAGGUUACAGGUAAUAUAAAUAUAGGGUAGGGUGAGAGAAGACUACAUAUAUAUAUUUUUUCCAACUUGAGAAGAUACUGGAAAGGAAAUAUCCACAUAAGAAGAAAAUUUGUGCCCAUGUACCAGGUAAUAAUCCAUGUAUGGAGUGAUUUUCCUAAAAAAUUAAGAAUUAUUUGAACCAAGUAACCAGUCCUAAAGAAGCAUUCUUCUUCUGUAUGAACUAAAAUACCCAAAAAUGAAAUAGGUAUGUCACUGCCCCACUUCUUUCAGUUUCUAAACUAGUAAGGUAAAAUAAGCCAUUAUCUAAAAGUAAACCAAAAAUUUAUAAUCUAAAUACACUUUCUUGCUUUUGAAAAUGACACACAUACAGAUCCUCCGCACAUAGUCUACUGUGUCUUUAAAAAUCUCAGUGACAUAUAUUAGAGGGCUCUAAACAAACUACUAAAGUAUUUGACUACCGAUUUUAGCAUAACUGCUAAAUCACAAUGUGUACGACAAAAAGAUAGGUUAUUAAAGACUGCUAUUCUUCAGACAGUUUUUCUGUACUAAGGAAUUGUGUCUGCAUGCAUAGGUGUAUACCAGUAUGUAGAUACAUUAUUUUAGUGACAGUCUUUGUAAGUUACACACCAGUGCCACCAAGAGGCAACCUCACAGACCUCAUGUAUAUUACAUAAAACAGAAUAACAUCUUGAAAAUACAGGUGUCACAACAGUAAUACAUAGCCCUUACCGCUACAAAGUAAUGGCAAUACAAUUUGUUUUGCUUUCUUUUUAAAACCUGAAGGGUAAGAAUAAAGCCACUUUAUGUCAAGAUACGUAUACACACUCAGAAUUUUAAAAACUUAACGAAUAUGUUGAAUUUUAGGUAGUUUAGGGAACAAAUGGUUAUGAAUGGAAAACAUGUUUUAAUGAAAAGUCUUUGAGAAUGCUGCAUUAUCAUAUCCCCAAGAGCUUUUCUAUACAAACUAGUUAUAGAAACUUAGAAACUUUAUUCAGGGGUGGGGAGGGGGGUGAACAAAUCAAACAAAUACCUCUCUUCCUACUGUUGCCCACAAACAUUAUUGCAUAUUUAGAGCAGAUUUUCUUUUCCUGAACUAGGUUCUCAGUUCAUUUUCUACUUCUCCAAUAUGUAAUAAAAGUGUCUUUAGGGGCACACAUGUACGGUGGGAGUACAAUUAAAUGGGCUCAAAUUCUAAGAAAAUGUUAACAUUUUCUAAAUGUACUAAAAGCUGUGAGAAGUAGGUACCACUAACUAACUACAAGCUCAGGGCCAGUGUUUAGGGUGCAUACCCAAACUUCUGUGAUUCUGGGUUGACUAGUCCUGUAAACCAAGAUAUGGCAGUUUCUCAGUCACAAACUCAAUAAGUUUACUCAAGCUUAAGGUUUACUCAAGUUUAAGGUUUCUUACCAUAUUGUUCCCUCGAUUUAAUUUUUGACCCUAAUAUCAAGCAUAGCCCUUUGCUCUUUGUACUUUUCUCUGUACUCCAUUUAACAAACAGAAAAAAAUAUGAUUCAGUUUGUACCCUCUUAUCUUAUACAGUCAUCUCUCACCUCAGGCUAAUGCUCCCAUGAUUACUUUUUCUCGCUCUCCUGUUGAGUUUUAAAGUGUUGACUUACAAGCUAUGGCUUAUAAGGUGAAUGAUAAGGAAGUUAUUUAAAAAAGGAAGUUCGGUAUUCAAAACACUCACUGACUGUCAGAAGUGUCUUCCAGCAGAACGUUCUCUUCACUGACAGCCAUCCUUGGCUGUUCCGUUUCUGCAUCACACUCAUCCCUCAAAGUCAGUGACUGGAUCUUCUCCCAAGGUUUCCCCUGCUUUCCAUCAGGUAGGUUAGAUCAAAGCGAGUUUACGGGUAGCCUUUGGAUAGAUUUAUUGCAUUGAAAUGAGAAAUUUCUCUCCUGCCUGUUCUCUAACAACAAAAAAAGCAAAAUAAUUAAAUAAUGCCUUUUCUUUACAGUACUACCUUAUAGUACUUUCCAUUUGUUUAGAGUUUUAACUUUUUUUUGUUAAGGUAAUACAGUGUUGACAAAUAUACCCCAUUCCUCUUAAAAUCCACUCAGCCAAUAUUUUUCUCUAUUCUAUGAAGGUUUUAAAUGUCACAGAAUAUAUUCACUUUGCUCCUAGCCUGUUUUUAAGAAAAACGAUUCCAAACAUUCUUGAAAGAUUGGUAAUUCAGAAAACACAAAACCAAUUAUUUAAAAUCACCAGCAAGAAAAAACAAAAAAACCCAAAAAAACCAGCCUCAGUGCAAGAAUGCAACUUGUACCUCGCAGUACACAAAAUAUCACAAACAGAGCUCUUAUCCAUGUGCUAAGAGUAGGUGUCAUUGAUAAUCUCAGUUCAGUGGCAUAAAACAAAUAUACAGAAAAUAUGCAAUAGUCCUCUAAAAACAUUUCAUGCUGUGUUGUCAAAAGUUGUGCAAAAAUAAAAAUACAGCAGUGGCAAAGUAUACACCAAAUCUGUACAGUGUAUAGCAAAACUAGGCAUACUGCAGAAUACGCCAUCUGUAAACUUCAACUCUGCAUGAAUAGGCCACUCAGUUCCGCUUGGCCUGGCUGCUUUCCCCAUUAAUCAAUGUCUUCUCCUGCUGUUCUGCAAGAGCCUGCCAUUUUUGCCUGUUCUUUCUGCAGCCAUCCAGCAAAGGGAAACAGUCCUCCGAUACGUGGGUCAGGGCCUAAAGAAAGAAAAGAAAGCCAACAACUAGAUGGCAGCUAGGAAAUAAGCCCUCUCCCCAGGCCUGACGCAAAGGGCCACAUUGUACACUCACUUCAUAAGCAGGCCCACUGCUGGGAUUCUCACAAACUGUGCAUGGGGAAAAAAAAUCAAGAGAGACAUUAGUGUCUACAACUGAGGAACUAUUAAUCCAAUCCACAAGAAAAGCAUCUGUUAUAGAAAGAAUGAGAUAUUCAGGGAUGUUGGAGACACUGCUCUGAACACACUUCUGCACAGAUUGCCGAGAAAGAUGGGGAGACAGUGGUGCAGAGGCCUGACACCCAGUUUCUUCUGUCCUGUUUUCUUUUGCUGUCUCUCCUGUCCUUCCCUCCUCAGCCACAGCUUCUUUCUUAAAUUCAUCCACUGGCUAGAACCCUGGACUCAGGCUGAGAACUGGAUUCUAAAUACAGUUCUCCCACUAAUUACCUGUUUGGGACAAACAUUUCAUCUCCCUGGAAGUUGGACUUUUUACAGAUUCAGUGACGGAAUCUGUGAGAUGUCUGGAUUAGAAGAUUUCUAGGGUUUCUUCUGGUCUUGACAGUCUAUGAUUACACCAUGAUAAAUGUUCUUUUCCCAAAUACUUAAAACUUAAGACAGUUUCCUGUUUAAACUUCUAAAGACAAGGACAGCAUCUACUUUCUAUAUUUGGGGCAUGAACAUCAAAACUAGUAAAUUGGAUGUUUUAGGGAGAAUAUCUUUACCCAAAAAAUAAAUAAAUAAGCAAAAAAAAAAACCCAAAACAAAACCCCAAGCCAGCAGGUAUAUGGAAAUGGGAACCUGCAAUAUUCUUCUAGCCGCUGCCUUCUAAUCGUCAUAAAAUUUUCUUAAGCCACACUAUGACAAUGAGAAAAAGUUAGAUAACUAUUUUUCCUUAUUUAGGCCAAAAGUCAGACUUAAAAAUAAUAUGCUCUUAAAAAGAACAUAGAGUAUGCACAGUGUACCUCCUGGAGGGCAGUAGCGCUCGCACAUGGUUUUUCUUAGCGUUCCCUACACGAAUUUGCUGGAUCCCAGCAUGUGGUAGGCACUCGCUAGGUAGUUAUACAUUAAUGAAUUAACAUUUUUGAGAAACAGUAAAUAUAAAAUGUGUUCCUUAUUCAGUACAAACAGCAUGUUCAUUAGCAAAAGAAAUUAUCCUGAUAAUUUUAUUUCUAGUUUGUUGAUUAAGACACAAAAAAUAUACGCCUGGUGUUAGUCGCUUCAAUUUACUUUAGGUUUUAAUUCAUAACAUGGUCAAAUUUUAGCAAGUCUACUAGUUUUCAUAAUAAAUACCUCAUACAGUUGCAAGCAGAUGGCAUCUAUGAAUCCAACUUGCAUACUUGGGAUUUUGUUUUUCUUCUCCCUGUUCAUUAGGUCCUGAAAACAGAAACAGACACACACAGAUCUGCAUUUACUUAAAGAACACAAUGCAAGUUGGCUCUAAAAAGAUGAAUCACUGGGUUAGCUGAGGAAGGCUAUAUACCUGCCUACCUACCUUCUUACCACACUCAGGAAGGCCCUGGUCCUCUCUCCCGUGUUCGCCCCGGCUGUGACUUUCCCCACAUGACUCCCAGAAUUGAUCACUGACCUAGAAUCAACUGCUGACCUACAGUCAAGCACUGACCUAGAGUCCACUGCUGACAUGUAUUUGGAGAACACACAUGCUUUCAAACUGUCUACUGAUGUGGAAUCAAACACUCUCAGCUUUGUGGAAAAAGCCACUGAGGCCACAGUUGAUUACAAUUCAAUUCACACAGAGAGCUUUUUGAGUGAAGAUUAUGCAGAUGUCACUGCUGCUUAUUCCCAGGAGCUCAUGACUGGUGCAGCGGACAAGCCCAGCACCUCCAUGGGGAGCAAAGAGUAUGUGUCAGUGCUUGUUUAAAAUGAAGCAAAUUCUCCAUUAGCUGCGACCAUCACUCUGCUACCCACCAUUUCCUGAGAAGAUUCUGAGCUUCUGAACAAGCCCACUACUACAUAAUAGGAGACUGAAUAACUGCAAAAGACUAAUGAGACAUAGGAUGUACCCAGUGGAGGAUAAAAAGCAGAAUGGAGGGCUUCCCUGGUGGCACAGUGGUUGAGGGUCCGCCUGCCGAUGCAGGGGACGUGGGUUUGUGCCCCGGUCCGGGAGGAUCCCGCGUGCCACGGAGCGGCUGGGCCUGUGGGCUGUGGCCCCUGGGCCUGUGCGUCCAGAGCCUGUGCUCCACGGCGGGGGAGGCCACAGCAGUGAGAGGCCCGUGUACCACAAAAAAAAAAAAAAAGCAGAGUGGAAGGAA